rnacentral:rRNA from 1 species
AUGAACGCUGGCGGCGUGGAUAAGGCAUGCAAGUCGGACGAUUUCCUUUUUUGAAGAAGAUGCGAUUACAUCAAGUCAACUGAUAUUUUGGAGAUAGUGGCGAACGAGCUAGUAACACCUUGGUACGUACCCAAAAGUUUGGUAUAGCUCGCCGAAAGGCGGGGUAAUCCCAAAUAAUCCCUCUAUCUAUCGGAUAGAAGGGUAAAGUCGCAAGACGCUUUUGGAGCGGCCUAGGACCGAUCAGUUAGUUGGUGAGGUAAUGGCUCACCAAGACGAUGACCGGUAGGGG